AUGACCAUGCAUUAUUCAGAUAACACCCAGACAACGCACUUUCUGCACCUCUCUUCGUGCAUCUCCGCCUGCAGCUGGCCCAGCGCCCUCGCACCUGCGCCCGUCGCCCGUAGCUGCCUGAUCCGCCCACGCGAGCUGCUGGCUUGCUGUUGCAGACGGUCCUGGACACGUCCCUGCCGCGGCCGGCUCCGCGCCGUCCUGGCCUCCGCCUGUGCUGCCGGGCAUCUCCCUGCCCACGGUACCCCUCCACUGCACAUCUCCCCAUCGGUAUCUCUUCCCGUGCAUCCGCGUCGCCAAGCCCCUUCUGCUCCAACACCGCACGGCCGCGCGUCCGCCUAG
rnacentral:rRNA from 1 species